CAGUAGCGUAUAUUAAAGUUGUUGCAGUUAAAAAGCUCGUAGUUGGAUUUCGGGGCAGCCUGGCUGGUCCGCCGCAAGGCGAGUACUGGUCAGCCGCCCUUCCUCUCGAAAGCCCCGACUGCUCUUCGUUGCAGUGGUCGGGUAGUUCGGGACGUUUACUUUGAAAAAAUUAGAGUGUUCAAGGCAGGCCUACGCCUGAAUACAUUAGCAUGGAAUAAUGGAAGAGGACCUCGGUCCUAUUUUGUUGGUUUCCAGGGCCGAAGUAAUGAUUAAGAGGGACAGUUGGGGGCAUUCGUAUUUAAUUGUCAGAGGUGAAAUUCUCGGAUUUAUGAAAGACGAACAACUGCGAAAGCAUUUGCCAAGGAUGUUUUCAUUAA
rnacentral:rRNA from 1 species